AAUAGCCUGACGGCUGAACCAGCAACUUGGAGGAAUGUAUAGCAAUAGCUAAUUGCGCUGAUUGUAAGAUCGACUAUGUCGAAUAAAGUUCUAGAUAGAAUUAUGAUAAUGACAUUGUCUAUCUAUGUGUCUUGGCCAAAUUACGUGCCAGCAGCCGCGGUAAUACGUUAAAGACUAGUGUUAUUCAUCUUUAAUAGGUUUAAAGGGUACCUAGACAGUAAAUCAAGCCUGAGGGACUAAUAUACUAGAGUUUGAUAUGAGGAAGUAUGAAAGUACUGUUGGUGUAGAGAUGAAAUUCAAUGAUACCAAAUAUGGCACAGGUAUAGGCGAAAGCAUCUUCUUAUGUAAUAGCUUAGUGUAUCGAUUAGGAUUAGAUACCCUAGUAGUCUAAGCAGAAAAUUAUGAGUGUCAUAGGCUAUUUUGGUCUAUAAAUGAAAGUGUAAGCAUUCCACCUCAAGAGUAAUUUGGCAACAUUGGAACUGAAAUCAUUAGACCGUUUCUGAAACCAGUAGUGAAGUAUGUUGUUUAAUUUGAUGACCCGCAAAAAACCUUACCAUGUAUGUUUACAAGCGUUGCACGGCUGUCUUCAGUUAAUGUCGUGAGAUUUUGGUUAGUUCCAUUAAAUUAACGUAAACCCGUACUUUAUUUAUUUAUAAAGUAGUUCACCGCUAUAUUGGAAAUGAUAAUAGGGAAUAAGACAAGUCAUCAUGGCCUAUAUAUU
rnacentral:rRNA from 1 species